UCAGGCCUAACACAUGCAAGUCGAGGGGUAGAAGGAGCUUGCUCCUUUGAGACCGGCGCACGUGUGCGUAACGCGUAUGCAAUCUACCUUUUACAGAGGGAUAGCCCAGAGAAAUUUGGAUUAAUACCUCAUAGUAUAUAUCAUUCGCAUGUUUGGUAUAUUAAAGUUCCAACGGUAAAAGAUGAGCAUGCGUCCCAUUAGUUAGUUGGUAAGGUAACGGCUUACCAAGACGAUGAUGGGUAGGGGUCCUGAGAGGGAGAUCCCCCACACUGGUACUGAGACACGGACCAGACUCCUACGGGAGGCAGCAGUGAGGAAUAUUGGUCAAUGGACGCAAGUCUGAACCAGCCAUGCCGCGUGCAGGAAGACGGUCCUAUGGAUUGUAAACUGCUUUUGUACGGGAAGAAGCACUCCUAC
rnacentral:rRNA from 1 species